GUGAGUCAUCGAAUCUUUGAACGCACAUUGCGCCCGCCAGUAUUCUGGCGGGCAUGCCUGUUCGAGCGUCAUUUCAACCAUCAAGCCCCGGGCUUGUGUUGGGGACCUGCGGCUGCCGCAGGCCCUGAAAACCAGUGGCGGGCUCGCUAGUCACUCCGAGCGUAGUAGUCUACACCUCGCUCAGGGCGUGCUGCGGGUUCCGGCCGUUAAAAGCCUUUUUUUACCCAAGGUUGACCUCGGAUCAGGUAGGAAGACCCGCUGAACUUAAGCAUAUCAAUAAGCGGAGGA
rnacentral:misc_RNA from 1 species